GAUGAACGCUGGCGGCGUGCCUAAUACAUGCAAGUCGAGCGAACAGAUGAGGAGCUUGCUCCUCUGACGUUAGCGGCGGACGGGUGAGUAACACGUGGAUAACCUACCUAUAAGACUGGGAUAACUUCGGGAAACCGGAGCUAAUACCGGAUAAUAUAUUGAACCGCAUGGUUCAAUAGUGAAAGACGGUUUUGCUGUCACUUAUAGAUGGAUCCGCGCCGCAUUAGCUAGUUGGUAAGGUAACGGCUUACCAAGGCAACGAUGCGUAGCCGACCUGAGAGGGUGAUCGGCCACACUGGAACUGAGACACGGUCCAGACUCCUACGGGAGGCAGCAGUAGGGAAUCUUCCGCAAUGGGCGAAAGCCUGACGGAGCAACGCCGCGUGAGUGAUGAAGGUCUUCGGAUCGUAAAACUCUGUUAUGAGGGAAGAACAAAUGUGUAAGUAACUAUGCACGUCUUGACGGUACCUAAUCAGAAAGCCACGGCUAACUACGUG
rnacentral:rRNA from 1 species